AUUGAACGCUGGCGGCAGGCCUAACACAUGCAAGUCGAGCGAGCCGCGGGCGGGUGAGUUAUGUAUGUGGCUCUGCCCGAUCGAGGGGAAUAACUACUGGAAACGGUUGCUAAUUCCGCAUUCUAUCGUCUGAACCCAUAUGGGAUUAGCUGGUAGGUGGGGUAAAGCCUACCCUAGGCCACGAUCUCUAGCUGGUCUGAGAGGAGGAACAGCAAAACUGGGACUGGGAAACGGCCCAGACUCCUACGGGAGGCAGAGGUGGGGAAUAUUGCACAAGGGGCGCAAGCCUGAUGCAGCCAUGCCGCGGUUGUGAAGAAGGUCUUCGGAUUGUAAAGCACUUUAAGUUGGGGGGCGUUACCAACAGAAUAAGCACCGGCUAACUCCGUGCCAGCAGCCGCGGUAAUAC
rnacentral:rRNA from 1 species